CCUUUAGCUCAGUUGGUCAGAGCAUCUGACUCAUAAUCAGGGGGUCGUUGGUUCAAGCCCAACAAGG
rnacentral:tRNA from 1 species